rfam:Ipomoea nil DNA, scaffold: scaffold3415, cultivar: Tokyo-kokei standard.
GGUCUUGUAACUCAGUUAGUUAGAGUGUUGGUUUUAUGAGUCGAAAGUUGUGGGUUCGAGCCCCACCAAGACCA